rnacentral:rRNA from 1 species
ACGGAAGGCAGCAGUGAGGAAUAUUGGUCAAUGGACGGAAGUCUGAACCAGCCAAAUAGCGUGAAGGAUGACGGUAUUAUGUAUUGUAAACUUCUUUUAUGCGGGAAUAAAAAAGUCCACGUGUGGGCUCUUGCAUGUACCGCAUGAAUAAGGAUCGGCUAAUUCCGUGCCAGCAGCCGCGGUAAUACGGAAGAUCCGAGCGUUAUCCGGAUUUAUUGGGUUUAAAGGGAGCGUAGGCGGGCCUUUAAGUCAGUGGUCAAAGCGUGUGGCUCAACCAUACCACGCCGUUGAUACUGGAGGCCUUGAGUGCACAUAAGGAUGGUGGAAUUCAUGGUGUAGCGGUGAAAUGCUUAGAUAUCAUGAAGAACUCCGAUUGCGAAGGCAGCUGUCCGGGGUGUAACUGACGCUAAUGCUCGAAAGUGCGGGUAUCAAACAGGAUUAGAUACCCUGGUA